GGAAGAGUGUCCGAACGGCUAAGGGGCCGGUCUUGAAAACCGGUGAAACCGAAAGGUGUCUGGGUUCGAAUCCCAGCUCUUCCGCCA
rnacentral:tRNA from 1 species